UAAUAAAGUAAGAAUAGGUGGGUGUGUACUCUGUCUAAUGGAAGAGGAUAAUCCUAUUUCCCCUGAGAUUAGGAAGGGAGAGACUAGGGAGGAGUAGGAAGAGAGGAAAAGAAGGAAAUGUCCAUUUUAAAAAUAAAUUGCAGUGGCAGAGCAGCCAGGGUUAUAUUUGAAGCAUGAAAUGGACUCUGUUACACUUCCCCACUGUCAAUUUCUGCACUCCAUUUCCGUGGAAAACCAGGUGAUGACAUCUCCAAAGUGCUUCCUGCUGAAAGAAGGCAAAGCUGGGGGCUGUGACCCAGAGUCCUUGUUCUCUUUCAGGUCGGGCAUGGACAAUUAAGGGCAUUCAGCACCAGAGCAGCCCACAGGGGCAUCAAAUUAUUUUAAAUGUAACUGAAAACAUUCAAAAUAAGAUUGGCUUUAAACAAAUAAAAUGAAGUUUA
rnacentral:lncRNA from 1 species